rnacentral:rRNA from 1 species
UACGUAGGAGGCAAGCGUUAUCCGGAAUUACUGGGCGUAAAGGGCGUCUAGGUGGACGCUCAAGCGGGGUGUGAAAGCUCCUGGCUUAACUGGGAGAGUGCGCUCCGAACUGAGCGACUAGAGGGCAGGCGACGCGGAUGGAAUACCCGGUGGAGUGGUGAAAUGCGUAGAGAUCGGGUGGAACACCAGUGGCGAAGGCGGUCCGCGAGCCUGUGCCUGACACUGAAGCGCGAGAGCGUGGGGAGCAAACGGG